UACGUAGGGUGCAAGCGUUAAUCGGAAUUACUGGGCGUAAAGCGCGCGUAGGCGGCCCUGUAAGUCCGUUGUGAAAGUCAAAGGCUCAACCUUUGAAAGCCGAUGGAUACUGCAGGGCUAGAGUCCGGAAGAGGCGAGUGGAAUUCCUGGUGUAGCGGUGAAAUGCGCAGAUAUCAGGAAGAACACCCGUGGCGAAGGCGGCUCUCUGGGACGGUACUGACGCUGAGACGCGAAAGCGUGGGGAGCGAACGGG
rnacentral:rRNA from 1 species